rnacentral:rRNA from 1 species
GACGAACGCUGGCGGCGUGCUUAACACAUGCAAGUCGAACGAUGAAGCCGGAGCUUGCUCUGGUGAAUUAGUGGCGAACGGGUGAGUAACACGUGAGUAACCUGCCCUUGACUCUGGGAUAACUGCUAGAAAUGGUAGCUAAUACCGGAUACGACCCUCGGAGGCAUCUCCAGGGGGUGGAAAGAAUUUCGGUCAAGGAUGGACUCGCGGCCUAUCAGCUAGUCGGUGAGGUAACGGCUCACCAAGGCGACGACGGGUAGCCGGCCUGCGAGGGUGACCGGCCACACUGGGACUGAGACACGGCCCAGACUCCUACGGGAGGCAGCAGUGGGGAAUAUUGCACAAUGGGCGCAAGCCUGAUGCAGCAACGCCGCGUGAGGGAUGACGGCCCUCGGGUUGUAAACCUCUUUUAGUAGGGAAGAAGCGAAAGUGACGGUACCUGCAGAAAAAGCACCGGCUAACUACGUGCCAGCCGCCGCAGUAA